GGGAGAGGAAGGAAUGCUCACCGUCCAGCUCAAAGCAGAUGCAGGGCUGCGGUGUUUGUGCUGUGCUUCACCCACACAUGAGCAGCAGCACAGGAACUGCCAGCACCGUGGCUAUCAAAGACAUUGUGGACCACCACUCCUGAAGGACUGCCAAAGUGAAACAAUGCCAUGUUUACAUUAAUUUUAGUGAAAAGACCUCAUCUGUGCAGCCCUCUUUUAAGACAUCUUUCAAUAUCUACCUUGGGGCUCUUCUUGGUCCAGCUGCAUCUUUUAAACUACUGCUGAGGACAUGACUGACAUUUCUACUGCUCACAGGAAUAAAAGCCCAACUGCUUUCUGAGGUAGUCACUG